rnacentral:RNase_P_RNA from 1 species
UGAGUCGGUCGGGCAGUCGCCGCCUGCAAUUUUGCAGGGGGAGGAAAGUCCGGGCUCCAUAGGGCAGAGUGCCAGGUAACCCCUGGGGGGCGUGAGCCUACGGAAAGUGCAACAGAAAGGAUACCGCCAAACAGCUUCCCGGUUGUUCGGUAAGGGUGAAAAGGUGCGGUAAGAGCGCACCGCGCGGCUGGCAACAGGCGUGGCGAUGGUAAACCCCACUCGGAGCAAGGCCAAAUAGGAAUCCAGCGCUGUGGCCCACAGUGGAUUCGGGUAGGCUGCUUGAAACCAGCGGUGACGCUGGUUCUAGAUGAAUGACUGUCCCAGACAGAACCCGGCUUACAGACCGACUCUCAUU